AGAGUUUGAUCCUGGCUCAGGACGAACGCUGGCGGCGUGCUUAACACAUGCAAGUCGAACGGUAAGGCCCUUCGGGGUACACGAGUGGCGAACGGGUGAGUAACACGUGGGUAAUCUGCCCUGCACAUCGGGAUAAGCCUGGGAAACUGGGUCUAAUACCGAAUAGGACCACAGGACACAUGUCCUGUGGUGGAAAGCUUUUGCGGUGUGGGAUGGGCCCGCGGCCUAUCAGCUUGUUGGUGGGGUGAUGGCCUACCAAGGCGACGACGGGUAGCCGGCCUGAGAGGGUGUCCGGCCACACUGGGACUGAGAUACGGCCCAGACUCCUACGGGAGGCAGCAGUGGGGAAUAUUGCACAAUGGGCGAAAGCCUGAUGCAGCGACGCCGCGUGGGGGAUGACGGCCUUCGGGUUGUAAACCUCUUUCACCAUCGACGAAGGUGCGGGUUUUCUCGGGCUGACGGUAGGUGGAGAAGAAGCACCGGCCAACUACGUGCCAGCAGCCGCGGUAAUACGUAGGGUGCGAGCGUUGUCCGGAAUUACUGGGCGUAAAGAGCUCGUAGGUGGUUUGUCGCGUUGUUCGUGAAAUCUCACGGCUUAACUGUGAGCGUGCGGGCGAUACGGGCAGACUUGAGUACUGCAGGGGAGACUGGAAUUCCUGGUGUAGCGGUGGAAUGCGCAGAUAUCAGGAGGAACACCGGUGGCGAAGGCGGGUCUCUGGGCAGUAACUGACGCUGAGGAGCGAAAGCGUGGGGAGCGAACAGGAUUAGAUACCCUGGUAGUCC
rnacentral:rRNA from 1 species